rnacentral:sRNA from 1 species
GGUAUCAGAUAAGCCUGGGUUUGAUUAUUGGUUCUUUCUCUUGCCAGCUAUGACUUCGGGCAAGUUACUUAACUUUCUCUAUGCCUUGGUUUUUUCAUCUGGAAAAUGGGUUUUUGAUAACCCAUCUCAUUUAACAGGUUAUCUCAUUAAAAGAGAUAGUGUAUAGUAAGCUCUUAACCUAGUGCCUGGCAUCUAGUAAGCAAUCAAUAAGUGUUAAUUAUCAUUACUGGCUUCUGUAGAGCAAUUUCCUCUUCAAACUAGACUCAUAAUGAGAAUUAGCAUAAACACAGUCUACAGAAUGGUCAUUUUUUUUCUCCCUAAGCACAAAUGAGACUGAAUUGAGAUCUGCCCUAGUGCCUAAUACAUAUAAGAUUUUCUAGGACAUCCUGAUUUUAUAUAGCAUUCUUUGAUUAAAGGUAAUUCAUUUUAAAAUGUAUAUCUAAAUGGAAGUUUUUUGAAGAUUUUAAAAUAAAUAUAUGUACGUAUCAGGAGAAAACCUUAGAGGUCUUUAUUCACGGUUCUGAACAUAUGAUUACCAUACUGAUGGCUCUUUGACAUAAAAGGUGCUCCUCCCCACAAAACACACACAUACACGUACACCUUCUAUCCAAAGCAAGUAUUAUUCCAGAAUAAUACUGGAAACCUAUCAGGAAUCUUUAGAAUAUCGUCUCAUUUUUUUAGAGUCAGUUUUGCUAUUCCCAUGCAUUUCUUACUUGUAGGGUCAAAAACACUUUCUAAUACCACGGAUGGCAUGGAAUCCUUCCCUGCAGGCAGCCAUCUUCAAGACUGAAAGCAGAAUAUAAAAAGCAGCUAAAUUAGAGACUUUACACAGUUGCUGGAUCCUGCUUAAUGAGAGACAGCGAACAUUUUGCAGGCUACUGAACUUCUGAAAUGUGACAAUCCAAGCAAAUGAAAUCAUGGUACCUUUCAUUGUAGUUUAAUUGGACUCAAACUCAGCAAGAGGGGCUGCUGAAAGCUGUAUUCAAAGAGACAGACAGGAAUUGUACAACAACUAAUUCAGCCCACACAACACAUCUUACAACUGUCCAAGCUCCACACGUGCUCUCAAGACUGACUCUUCUGGUCGAGAGAGAGAUAGACCUGCAGUGAACAGAAGCAGAGAUUGUAAGGCAGGCCAAAUACUGGCAUUGGGAAUGGCAUAGCUGUCACCCCAAGUUAUGCAUUUGAAAUAGCUCAGCCUUGUGGCAGCCAGUACAGGCCAAUUUAUUUUAAAAGGAAAAGAGAAGUGAAACAAACUUAGGCCCUCUCUUCUGCCUGUUAGGGUGUCAAGACAUCAGUGUCAAGGAGUCCUGUUAACAGAAGGGUGAGGAUGAGUUGAGCAUAAACACUAACAAGAGAAGAACUUAGCACAGGCCUCCUGUUGAGUGGAGCUAAAUGGCAGUCCCAGUUGAGUAACCCAAAAAGCAGAGAAUUACCAUAGCUGUCAGGAGUGGGCCAAAAAUUCUGUCAGGCAGCGGUAAAGGGAAUGGGAACAGUUUGAGGGAAAGGUGAGUUUUGUAGGGGAGUGAGGUCAAGAAAUAGACUGUUUUAGGGCAUGCAUGUCUGGACUUAGGAGGCCCUUGGACCAUUUAGGAGGGUGUCUUGGCUUCCUUGUUUUGUUCUUGUAUCAUUUGAGCUCUGUGGCCUGAAACUGAUUAUAUCAUCUCAGCCUCUUCUGGUGUAACCAUCCCGCCUGACCACUUGAGUCCACGUUUACUGUUAUUAUGGCUGUAGGUUUAGCCAGUAAGGCUAAAAGAGUGGACAAAUUGGGGGCCUGCAAGUAACAGGCCAUCCUGGACAUUGAUUUUUGAAGGUUCAUUAGAUAAAUGCUGACAUCACAGAUUGAUGUCUCUUUAAACCAGUACCUAGUGCAGGACCGUCUGGGGAAUCAAAAAUAUUGAUGUAACAUGUUUGAGUAGAAGGCCCACUGGAGAAUUCCACUGCCUAAAUGGGAUCCAUCAAUUUAGGCUUUCUUUAAUUAUUCUAACUGUGUGCAUCACGUCGGUAGGGGAGUUUGUCUGCAGAACCGGUUUUUAUAGGGGGUGCUGCCCCUACGUUAGGGGCAAAGGAAGGCCAGACAAGGUAUCCACAUCUAUUUUUCAUUGUUGUUUUCAGUUGCUGUUUAGUAAUUAAAAUUUUUGAUCAUAGACUAAUUUUCCCAUACCAUGUGGCCGUGCGAUUGACAAGGGACUGAUUAAUGGGCCGACCCCAGGGCCAGGAGGCUGCUGGGCUGUUCUCUUGUGGAAGGCAUGCCGGCAAAAUAAAGUUGAUGGUUUUGUUUGUGUUUAACCCUUCACCUUGGCACUAUCAAUAGAUUGAAGACAUCAUUUGUAUCUGCAAGUGUUUCUUUAAUUAAGACCUCCUAAAAAUCUUUCCUAUUGAUUCAUUCCAUUAUCCUAUUGAUUAACUGCAGUGGAUCAUGUGCUUGGUCUUCAGUGGAAGGCAACAGCCUCAGCCGUCUGUCAUGACUACAGAUGCAGACCACAGGCAGCCAGCAGUGAGCGCCCAGGGCUGGCAGGAGUGUCUCGCGUUCUAAUGAGGCAUCAGCGGUGGCUCACUGAACACCACAGAGAAAGCCAGUUGUCUCCUGCUGGAGGGGUGGCCAAGCAUAAAGCAUUCCUUCCAGUUAUUUAUACUGCAGCCACUUAGCUAACAGUGCCAAUCGCGAAUUGCCCGAACUUUACCUGCUGAUCAGAAGCCAGAAUGUCGGCCAUACUGGGAAAAGGAUGACGUUUCAAUGCCUCUGCCGUUUGAUCUCACAGACAUCGUUUCAGAACUCAGAGGUCAGCUUCUGGAAGCAAAACCCUAGAAGGAGCACAAGUCUCAGGGCAGAGGAGAAAAAGAGAUUGGCUUUCCUCUCCAACACUCUCAUGGGCUUAAGCAAGGGCAGUGGAGACUUCUCUUGGCCCCUAGAUUGUAGCACCCGGGUCCCAAUCCAAAACAGCUAGGAAAUGGUGCCCAUGAAUUUUUAAAUGUUUUAAAAUGACCCUGUGUUAUAGUCUGAUUUGGUGUUAAACAGGACCUUCUUCCCCAAAAAUUGUUCAGAUUAUAAAAUGUGAGCCAUUCAGCCCCCAAGGUCCAGGGCAGGCGACAGGAAUGAGCCCAGCAUGUGACAAAGCCUAACCUACUUUCCUCUUUCCCAAGCUUUUUCAGAGACUCUGGAGUGGACCCAGCCCUCUGGGGAAAGACAGAACUUAGAGACAUCCCAGUUUCUCACCACACCCACAGUGCUGUCCAAUAUGGUAGCCACUAGCUAGCUGUGGCUACUUCAAUUUAAAUUCAGUUUUAAUUUUAAUUAAAAAUGCAGCUCUUCAGUUGCCCUGGCCACAUUUCAAGUGCUUAAUAGCCUCAUGUGACUAGUGACUGCUGUAUUGGACGGUACAGGUAUGGAACAUUUUCAUCAUCGAAGAAAGUCCUAUUGGACAAUACUUCUAUAAAAAGUUUGAGAGCAGGAAUUCUCAUUUCCAUUCCUCUGUAGCCUCUAUCCCCAAAGGCAAAGAAACUAAAAAGUGAAGUGACUCAUUGAAGAUUGGCCUCUUUCCUUUCUCUAAGACAAACCUAAGUAAAAGCCUGAGCUUUGAGUCCUAUGCUUAGUGCACAGGAAGGAGAUGUUAAUAAUUAAAAUAAAGUUGAUAUCCUGUCUUUAGGGAGUUCCCCUGAUCUCUUGAAAGAGACACAGCCCCAUUUACAUUAUUUUGUGGAUUUCACCAGCAUAGUAUAGUUUUUUCUGUAAGUCCCUCAUUCUUAUGUAAUAACAGGUGGAACUGAGGUUUGAAGAAUCUCAGUGGCCCAUCCUGAUGACAUUGGAGACUCAGAAAGACAAGAGAGAGUAGGGUUUAAAACCUGAGCUUUAAGACUCCCACUAGCUUUGUGUCCUUUGGCAUGUUAACGUGCCUCAGUUUCCUCAUCUAUAUAAUGGGGAUAUAUGAAAGGCACCAGUCCCAAGGUGAAUAUUAAGUGAGAUGAUUCUAGUUACAGGCUUAGAACAAUUUCCAGCACAUAGUUAAAUAUCCAGGAAAUCCUAGUACUGUUAUGUGUGGGUGAGCUGACCUGGAUGUAGAUGUUUUCCUCUCUUUCUGACCCCUCCGCCAGUUUUGUCUUGUGAUGCCAUUAACACGUCUCCCCCUUUCUGACCUGGCUCCUGCCCAUUGGUGUCCCAAGAAAUCAUGAGAAUAGUUAGCCCCCCUCUCCCCAGCCUGUUGCCUUCUCGUGUAGUUGUUCACAGUAGUUGAGAAGUUGAAGAGCUUUUGCCUGUUGAAGGUGCACUGAGAAUGAACUCUUUCCUGCCACCAGAAUUGCAGUGGUUCACAGCCUGCACUCAUUCCCAUGCAGUUAAUAGCCACAGAAAUGUCACGUUGAGCAAAGCGGCCAGGGUCUCAUCGUGUUGAGACUCGAGUCUCUCAGAUCUUGGAUUCAUUCCCUGGUGUCUUUGAGCCUCGGUUUCCUCAUUGGUAAAAGAGAAGUGAAGCGGUGUCUCACAGGGUCGUUACAGAGAUUAAAUGAAAUAAAUGAAAUAACGUAGACCAGGAGGGCGUGGUGUUUAAAAGUCACAGGUGGGGCACCCUCGGGCCAUCCGGCCCAGUGUUUUCUUUAGCCCCUAUGAUGUUCAUUUUUUGUUAUAUUCCAUUAGGUGCCAAGAUUUAAAAAAUUGGGAGAUUUCACAUAAGAUUAAAAGCUCUGCAUGCAUUUUCUUUUUUCUUUUUUUUUUUUUUGAGACACAGUCUUACUCUGUCACCAGGCUGGAGUGCAGUGGCACGAUCUCAGCUCACUGCAACCGCCGCCUCCCAGGUUCAAGUGAUUCUCCUGCCUCAGCCUCCCAAGUAGCUGGGACUAUAGGCACGUGCCACCACGCCCAGCUAAUUUUUGUAUUUUUAGUAGAGAUGGGGUUUCACCACAUUGGCCAGGAUGGUCUCGAUCUCAACCUCGUGAUCCACCCACCUCGGUCUCCCAAAGUGCUGGGAUUACAGGCUUCAGCCACCGCGCCCAGCCAAGGUCUGCAUUUUUCUUUAGAACUCAGAACACCCAGUAGUCCUAGGCCCCCAUCCUCGCAUGGCAACAAGCUAAAUAGCAUCUUCCCACUGCGAGUUGGGGCAUGACCCAGCCUAUGGUUUGCCAUACUCCCUCUUUUUCUCCGUUUUUUCAUUAAUUGUGAACCUGACCUGCGUCACCCUUUCAUGUCAGCGCUCUCCAAACCUGCUUGCUUGCACCCCUCUAGUCGAAAUGUUUUGUGCUCACCCCAAUAUAUGUGUGUGACUAUUGAACUCUAUUCGUAGACUGCUUGUACUAAUGUCAUUUGCAUCAUAAAAUAUUCAUAUCCAAUAAAC